rnacentral:rRNA from 1 species
AAUCCCUGCGGGGGAAAGAUUUAUCGCUAUUAGAUGAGCCUACGUUAGAUUAGCUAGUUGGUAAGGUAAUGGCUUACCAAGGCUAUGAUCUAUAGCUGGUCUGAGAGGACGAUCAGCCACACUGGAACUGAGAUACGGUCCAGACUCCUACGGGAGGCAGCAGUGGGGAAUAUUGGACAAUGGGCGAAAGCCUGAUCCAGCUAUGCCGCGUGAGUGAAGAAGGCCUUCGGGUUGUAAAACUCUUUCAAUAGGGAAGAUA